rnacentral:lncRNA from 1 species
GAAAGGUUAGGUGGUGCUAUGGUUCACUGAAUGGCACGACGAGGGCAGCUAUGGGUUUAGGAUGGCGAGAUGAACCAGGAUGAGGCUCAAGGCUGCGGCUUUCAUUGGUGGUCAGGUAGACACGUAGUGGCACCUAUGCCCGACAUGGCAAAAUAAUGUUGACACAUAAAUGGAGACCUAGUUUAGAUGAAUCAAGAACCCAUUGCAGGAUGGACAUGGCUCAAGCGCUCCUCUGCUGGGCCAGAGGAGGGUCCUUGCCAUAGGGCACCUGUGGGUUUGCACGGUGGCGCUUCGAUCAUGUGAACAUGCCGUGCG